AGAGUUUGAUCCUGGCUCAGGACGAACGCUGGCGGCGUGCCUAAUACAUGCAAGUCGAGCGAAGUUAUGAGAGCUUGCUCUCGUAACUUAGCGGCGGACGGGUGAGUAACACGUGGGCAACCUGCCUGUAAGACGGGGAUAACUUCGGGAAACCGGAGCUAAUACCGGAUGAAUCUUUUCCUCGCAUGAGGAAAAGCUGA
rnacentral:rRNA from 1 species